rnacentral:misc_RNA from 1 species
UCCGGUUUGACACCGGCAGUCCCGCUAGAGUCCUCGCCAUGACGCGUUAGCAACUAACGGCAGGGGUUUCGCUCGUUAAGGGACUUAACCCGACACUUCACAGCACGAGCUGACGACAGCCAUGCACCACCUGUGACGGUCCAGCCGAACUGACCCCGUGUUUCCACGGGUAUGACCGACAUGUCAAACCCAGGUAAGGUUCUUCGCGUUGCGUCGAAUUAAACCACAUCAUCCACCGCUUGUGCGGGUCCCCGUCAAUUCCUUUGAGUUUUAGCCUUGCGGCCGUACUCCCCAGGCGGGGCGCUUAAUGCGUUAGCUGCGGCACGGAACUCGUGGAAUGAGUCCCACACCUAGCGCCCAACGUUUACGGUGUGGACUAC